rnacentral:rRNA from 1 species
AGGACGAACGCUGGCGGCGUGCUUAACACAUGCAAGUCGAACGAGGGUGCAGGAGAGCUUGCUCGAAUGCAGCCGAGUGGCGGACGGGUGAGUAACGCGUGAACAAUCUGUCUCAUACAGGGGGAUAACGCGUCGAAAGACGUGCUAAUACCGCGUAGGACCACAGCACCGCAUGGUGCGGGGGUGAAAGGCUUCGGCCGGUAUGGGGUGAGUUCGCGUCUGAUUAGAUAGUUGGUGAGGUAACGGCUCACCAAGUCAACGAUCAGUAGCCGACCUGAGAGGGUGAUCGGCCACAUUGGGACUGAGACACGGCCCAGACUCCUACGGGAGGCAGCAGUGGGGAAUAUUGGGCAAUGGGCGGAAGCCUGACCCAGCAACGCCGCGUGAGGGAGGGAAGAAGGUUUUCGGAUUGUAAACCUCUGUCCUGUAUGAAGAGAAGGAGACGGUAGUACAGGAGGAAGCCCCGGCUAACUACGUGCCAGCAGCCGCGGUAAUACGUAGGGGGCGAGCGUUGUCCGGAAUGAUUGGGCGUAAAGGGCGCGUAGGCGGCCGCUUAAGUCUGGAGUGAAAGUCCUGUUUUCAAGAUGGGAAUUGCUUUGGAUACUGGGGGGCUUGAGUGCAGGAGAGGUUAUCGGAAUUCCCGGUGUAGCGGUGAAAUGCGUAGAGAUCGGGAGGAACACCAGUGGCGAAGGCGGGUAACUGGACUGCAACUGACGCUGAGGCGCGAAAGUGUGGGGAGCAAACAGGAUUAGAUACCCUGGUAGUCCACACUGUAAACGAUG